GCGAAAACUUUACAAUGCUGGCAACAGCGAUAAGGGAACCUCGAGUGCCGGGUUACAAAUCUGGCUGUCGAGAUGCCUAAAAAGCAUUUCAUAGCAAGGGCCGGGCAAGACCGGUGUCAGCCGCCGCGGUAACACCGGCGGCUCGAGUGGUAACCGUUAUUAUUGGGUCUAAAGGGUCUGUAGCCGGCCGGAUAAGUCUCUUGAGAAAUCUGGCAGCUUAACUGUCAGGCUUUCAGGAGAUACCGUCUGGCUCGAGGCCGGGAGAGGUGAGAGGUACCUCAGGGGUAGGGGUGAAAUCUUGUAAUCCUUGAAGGACCACCAGUGGCGAAGGCGUCUCACCAGAACGGACCUGACGGCAAGGGACGAAAGCUAGGGGCACGAACC
rnacentral:rRNA from 1 species